rnacentral:rRNA from 1 species
AGCAGCCACGGUAAUUCCAGCUCCAAUAGCGUAUAUUAAAGUUGCUGCAGUUAAAAAGCUCGUAGUUGAAUUUCGGGACCAUCAUGUCGGUCGUGCCUCGGUACGUACUGGCAUUGUUGGUUUCUUCCUUCUGACGAACCAUGAUGUCAUUUAUUUGGUGUCGUGGGAAAUCAGGACUGUUACUUUGAAAAAAUUAGAGUGUUUAAAGCAGGCUCACGCUUGAAUACAUUAGCAUGGAAUAAUGAAAUAGGAUGUUUGAUUCUAUUUUGUUGGUUUUUAGGAUCGACGUAAUGAUUAAUAGGGAUAGUUGGGGGCAUUAGUAUUCAAUUGUCAGAGGUGAAAUUCUUGGAUUUAUUGAAGACUAACUACUGCAAAAGCAUUUGCCAAGGAUGUUUUCAUUAAUCAAGAACGAAAGUUAGGGGUCGAAGACGAUCAGAUACCGUCGUAGUCUUAACCAUAAACUAUGCCGACUAGGGAUCGGAUGAUGUUAAUUUUUUAAUGACUCA